CAGACAUCUCCAGGUACUCCUCUCUCUCUCUCUCUCUCUCUCUCUCUCUCUCUCUCUCUCUCUCUCUCUCUCAUCAAGCUUCUCCAUCAGAGCUCUCAUCAGACAUCUCCAGGAGAAGUUUUGUUGCAUUUGACUCGCGGGAAGAUUUGAGAAAAUGGCUAGCGAAGCACCGAGCUGGGCUGAUCAAUGGGGAGCUGGCGGUUUCGGGGCUAUGGAUGAUGACGGCGCCAAGAAGGACGAAGGGAGCAAUCAGAAGAAGGGCGAUUCCAAGGCCGCAUUUACCAAGGCAAAAGCAGCGGCCGCAGCCGGAGCACAGAAGAUCAAGAGUGGGACAUCGAAUGGCAUCAAAUGGAUCAAGAAUCAAUGUCAGAAAAAAGGCUCCGCUAAAUGAAGAACGAGAUGGUUCUGUCUAAGCUAAUGAAGAGUGCAAAAACCAUUUGUCUUUCAGUGUAUAGUAGUUGCAUCUGCAUUAUAUUACUCUUUUAUGCAGCAUAAAAGCUACAAAUUA